GCUGGCGGCGCGCUUAACACAUGCAAGUCGCACGAGAAAGGGGGCAACCCUGAGUACAGUGGCGUACGGGUGAGUAACACGUGGGUAAUCUGCCUCUUAGUGGGGAAUAACCCUGGGAAACCGGGGCUAAUACCGCAUAAUCUCGAGAGAGGAAAGCAGCAAUGCGCUGAGAGAGGAGCCCGCGGCCGAUUAGCUAGUUGGGAGGGUAAAAGCCUACCAAGGCAAAGAUCGGUAGCCGGCCUGAGAGGGCACACGGCCACACUGGCACUGAAACACGGGCCAGACUCCUACGGGAGGCAGCAGUGGGGAAUCUUGCACAAUGGGGGCAACCCUGAUGCAGCGACGCCGCGUGAGCGAUGAAGCCCUUCGGGGUGUAAAGCUCUUUCGUCAGGGAAGAUGAUGACGGUACCUGGAGAAGCAGCUGCGGCUAACUACGUGCCAGCAGCCGCGGUAAUACGUAGGCAGCGAGCGUUGUUCGGAGUUACUGGGCGUAAAGGGUGUGUACGCGGUUCUUUAAGUUUG
rnacentral:rRNA from 1 species